UUUAAAGAGUGCGUAAUAGCUCACUAGUCGAGUGGCUCUGCGCCGAAGAUAAACGGGGCUAAAACUUACUACCGAAGCUUUGGAUACAGAAAUGUAUGGUAGAGGAGCAUCGUAUACUGGGAAGAAGCAAAUUCGUAAGGAUUUGUGGACUGUAUACGAGAGAGAAUGUUGGCAUGAGUAGCGCAAGGCAGGUGAGAAUCCUGCCCGCCGAAAAUCUAAGGAUUCCUGAGGAAGGUUCGUCCGCUCAGGGUUAGUCGGGACCUAAGCCGAGGGCGAAAGCCGUAGGCGAUGGAUAACAGGCAGAGAUUCCUGUACCACCGGAGGUCGUUUUAAGCGAAGUGGGGACACAGAAGGAUAGACUGAGCACGCCGCUGGUAGAGCGUGUCCAAGCGUCGAGGUAGGCAAUGUAGGCAAAUCCGCAUAGUCAAUACUGAGGCGUUACG
rnacentral:rRNA from 1 species